AACGAACGCUGGCGGCAGGCCUAACACAUGCAAGUCGAGCGAAGCCUUCGGGCUUAGCGGCGGACGGGUGAGUAACGCGUGGGAACGUGCCCUUUGGUACGGAAUAGCCCCGGGAAACUGGGAGUAAUACCGUAUGUGGUCGAGAGACGAAAGAUUUAUCGCCAAAGGAUCGGCCCGCGUUGGAUUAGGUAGUUGGUGGGGUAAUGGCCUACCAAGCCGACGAUCCAUAGCUGGUUUGAGAGGAUGAUCAGCCACACUGGGACUGAGACACGGCCCAGACUCCUACGGGAGGCAGCAGUGGGGAAUCUUAGACAAUGGGGGAAACCCUGAUCUAGCCAUGCCGCGUGAUCGAUGAAGGCCUUAGGGUUGUAAACCGCUUUCAGGAGGGACGAAGCCACUCGGGUGAAUAGCCCAGAGGGUGACGGUACCUCCAGAAGAAGCCCCGGCUAACUA
rnacentral:rRNA from 1 species